UACAGAGGGGGCAAGCGUUGUUCGGAAUUACUGGGCGUAAAGGGCGCGUAGGCGGCCUUCUAAGUCGAACGUGAAAUCCCCGGGCUCAACCCGGGAACUGCGUCCGAUACUGGAAGGCUUGAAUCCGGGAGAGGGAUGCGGAAUUCCAGGUGUAGCGGUGAAAUGCGUAGAUAUCUGGAGGAACACCGGUGGCGUAGGCGGCAUCCUGGACCGGCAUUGACGCUCAGGCACGAAAGCGUGGGGAGCAAACAGG
rnacentral:rRNA from 1 species